CUUGCCAUAAAGCACGUAUAGACGCUCUCUCAUCUUCACCUCUCGUUUGCAGCAAUAUUGCAGUUAAUAUUGGCUAAGAAACGAUGUUUGUAAUUGCUAGGUCUACAAUUUCCUUGUGUUUGUCAUUGAUUAACUUUGAUUUUUCUGUUAAGCAUAGUUGGAAACUCCGUGCGAAGUAAAAAAGUGUAAAUUUUUGACAGUAAAAUCUGUAGGGAAAACCUGGCUAUGAACCACGCAAAUAUUUUACUAGCCUGUACCUCACCAUCAAUGUGAAGCGAAAUUUAUGAGUUUACACUUCGAGCGAAGUCACUAAUGUGUGCAUGCGUGAAAAAAGUAAUCCAAAGUGAAAAAGAUUUUCGCCUUAUUUAGAACUUUAAACAGUUUUUUUUUUAUUCUCGCUUAUUUUCCGUCGGUCUAUUUCCGCCACUGUUGUGGCCAAUCACCGACGCCCAGGGAGGCGGCUCCACACCCAGGACCCUAACUCACGACCCGUUUAUUAACGGACCGGCGCCAACGGCUUUACUUCCUCAUGCGAUGGAAGGCGUGAUCCCAGAGAUUUUUCGCCUCAGAAAAUUCCCGGUGUCGGCUAGGAUUGAAUCUAAACCAGUUGGGUUGGUUGUGAGUGGAUCACGCCACCUCACAACCAUCGACACCCAUGUCGGCGGUGGGAUUCGAACCCAGGCGUCGAGCGUGGUUGGCGGAGACGUUACCAACGACACUUGGCCCCCGCUCAUAACUUUAAACAGUUCUCAAUUGUUAAAAUCAAAUUAUGGAACAAUAUAUGUAACUUUUACUGGUAUUGUACUAAUAAGGUAUUGGAUAUUAAUUUCAACGCAAUAUCCAUUCUUGCUAAAGAAAACUACGAACUGCUUGGCAACUCUGCCGUCAUCCGAAACCGCGGCGAACGAACGGUGAGCGAAGCCGCAGCUUGAGAUUCGAGUUUAAAGCAAAAUGUCGGGAAAACGUUGGUCGGAAGGAGAUUUUUUAAGUUUGUUCCAAAAAAAAGUUUUAUUGCUGAAGAUAAAACGCAAACCAUCGUUACAAUUUGUUCAUUGUGUAGUGAUUCUAAAACGUUUCGGUGUAAUGCUAAGUUUAAUUUGAAAAGGCAUAUAAUCACUAAGCACAAGGAAAAGGCCAUAGAGCUAAAUUUAUUGAAUGACGAUAAGAAAACUACUGCUGCAUCCAGUUCCAGAGAAGUUAAUUCGAGAAAAAGAAGUCGAUGGAUUACGGUUCCUCUUGAGCGAAAUGUUUACAUAACAAACAUCGUUCGAUGGUUGACUGAGUGCAACGUUCCACUGCAGUUUUUCUCCCACGAAUGUGUCAGUAACAUAUUGCGUCCGAUUGAAAAUGCUUUGAGACUGGGACACACUAACCGCCUUAAUAUACUACGAUACGCCAACGAAAUUCACAAUAAAGUCGUGGAAUACAUAUCAUCUCAGCUUCGCGAAAAAUUAAUCAGCAUAAGGGCGGAUAUCGCAUCCCGCAGGGGCAGGAGCAUAUUAGGAAUCAAUGUCCAGUUCAUUCAUCAAGGAAAAAUCGUCAUCUACACUCUUGCUAUGCAAGAAAGCACAGGGCGGAAUACUGCAGAGAGGAUUUUAGAUUAAAUUUUAAGUGUUCUGGACAGGUUUUCAAUCCUGAUUAAGCAAAUUUAUACAGUCACGACGGACAAUGGUCAAAAUUUCAUAAAAGCUUCCGGAUUGUUUCGAAACAAGCAAAUUGAAGAUACUUUGUAUGGUGACGACGAUUACAAAAUUGAUGAUGAAGAACUAGAGUUGGUCCUGGAAGAUCCAGAAUUCAUAGAUUACGCUGAGAACUAUGAAUUGACCAGUGAACACUCAUUUAACCAACAAUAGAUGCGCAGCGCACACAGCUCAGCUUUCUGUCUACGAUGUACUAAAAACCAAAUCACUGUCAAGGUUUCUUACUAACGCCAGAAAGCUCGUGAAGAUUAUGCGUUGUCAACCAUAUGUGAAUUCCUUCAAGCUGGACCAAUCUCGAAAUCUACCGUUUUUGGAUGGCGAUACGCGUUGGGAGUCCGCUUACUUAAUGAUCAAUCGGUUGCAAGAUGAAAAGGUUUUUAGAAUUAGCCUUCUACCGCCGCAACUAUUGAAGCCAUUCAACACAAAAUUUUGGCAACGAGUGGAUCAAUUCGUAUUGGCAGCCAAACCGGUGUAUAUACUAACUAAACGUAUUCAGGAGUAAACUUUGCUAUGUGGUUCCUUUUAUCUUUAUUGGCAAGAGUGCUGUCUUGAGUUGCAGGAAACUGGAGAUACAAUUUCGAAGCAGCUGCUCAAGGCAUUAAAUCACCGCAGACACAUGUGGAUGGAUAAUGCUGCAUUCCUGGCGGCUCUGUAUGUCGAUCCUCGCCUAACUGAUUUUGAACUGAUUUUGACCACGUGGUCUUUUCUGACUUAUAAUUUAUUGUUGCCACUUAGUCAAGAAUGAAGCUUUUGCAUUUUAGAAAUAUGAAUGUAGGUACUGAAAGUAUAACAAUAAAAAUGUUAAAAAAUUAAGCGAAUUUUCGGCACUUGACAAAUAAAAAGACCACGUGGUUAAAGUCGCAAGGGGGGAGGGGGGUUGGCCAAAAGACCACGAAAGACCACGGGGGGUACGGGGGGUAUAAAAAGUGAUCAAAAUAUGACGACGUGGUUUAGGAACGGCCCCCUUGCACACAGGUUUCAGUUGAACGAGAAUUCAAUGGACUCGGGCAAAUAUUGACCAAGUCCAGGAUGAAUCUCAGUAAGGAUAACUUAGAACAUGUACUUUUUCUCAAGUCAAACAGUAAUGUAGUGAAGGCACUUAUGUACGAUUAUGAUUUCUAAACUAUAUAUCGAUAAGUAAGCAAUAAAUCUUUGAAAGAUGAAGUUUAA